rnacentral:tRNA from 1 species
GGGGUUGUGGCUCAUCGGUAGAGCACUCACCCAGCACCUGAGAGGCCCUGGGUUCAAUCCUCAGUACCACA